rnacentral:tRNA from 1 species
GAGGGUAUAGCUCAGUGCUAGAGUACCUGCCUAGCUUGCAUGAUGUCCUGGGUUUAAUCCCCAAUACCUCCA